AAGAGGGAACUCGGUGUGAAUCCGAGACUGUCCCGCAGCGGUAUGCAGGAACGACCGCCGUCUAUAGCACUGGUCCUGACAGAUUUGGCACUGGGAAGCGACGGCCAGUAGGAGCACCACCAGGUGCGCGCCUGCGAGUCCGAAGACCU
rnacentral:misc_RNA from 1 species